CUUUCUAAAUGCCUAUGACUUUUAUGCUUCCAGGAGUUUAUAUUCCUGUGUGUAUUAACUUUUGUUUCAAGUUUACAGAACUCCUUUUAGCAUUUCUUGUAGGAUUGGUCUAAUAUUGACAAAUUAACUUUGCAUUUGCUUGCCUAAGAAAGACUAUUUCUCCUGCAAUUAUGAAACAAUUUUACUGGAUACAAAAUUCAUGACUGUCAGUUCUUCUGUUUAAGAAGGAGGCUAGAGAUAGGCCCCAGUCUUUUCUGGCUUGCAAAAAUUCUGAUGAGAAAUCUGUUUGUCUUAUAGGUUUUGAUUUACAGAUUAACGGAUGAUUUUGUCUCAAUGCUGAUAUAAUUAUCUCCUUUCUGUUAACUAGAUAGCAUUACUAUAUGCCUUGGUGAUUUCUUUUUUGCAGUGAGUCUCCCAUGAUGUAUUUGAGCUUCUUGUAUUUGGAUGUCUAAGUCCAGCAAGAGAAUCUUUGAGUCACGGCUUUCUCAGGUGGUAGUUAUGGUAGCAAUGUGCUGGGUGUGUGAGCAGUUUCAUUCUCCUGUGCCACUGGAAUAAAAGAAGUCUCAUGAUCCUCAUCUCAUUAUCAAGUGGUGUGCUAUUUUUUUUAAAAAAAAUCCCCCAUGUAUCAUUCAUAGGGUGAAACAGUUCAGCCUUCAAGAAAGUAGGAGGUGUCCAUAAG
rnacentral:lncRNA from 1 species